UGUUUGUAUUUAUGUUGCCCACAACGUCCACCUGUUCUAGUGACGGCUUCUUACAACACACAUAAAACGAGCCCGAGAGAGAUCGUUUCAAAACUUUUCCCGCCCUGUACAAGUUAGAGGGCACGUGAAUGGCGGGUAAAGUUUUGAAGCAAUUUCUCCUGGUCUCAUUUAUUCACAAUCG